AUUAAAGCUUUCGCUAAGUUUCCCAAUACCGGUCGACCUGACUUAUGGGCAAUGCGAGUAACAAACAUUUCAGUUGUUAAUGUCUUUUGGCCAUCGACACAUCGAAUUCCUGUAGAACCAAAGAGGUUAAUACAUAGUACCUGUCGACUGCAUUUAACAUGUGCAACGCUCUCUGCGAAUGUCUCAAAUGCCCCGGCAAAGUUGUUUGCUGGUAAGUUCUGACUGUGACUGAUUAUUUACUCAUUCAUUCCACAAAACCUUGAUUUCCUAAAUAACAAAAACAAAAUUGAGAAGGGGUCAGUUCAAGACAAUUAUUUUUAAAUUGGGUUUUGAUCGAGUGGAUAGCAGGGGCAACUUAAUAAUUACUCUCUUAUCCAUUUUAGCUGCUGCUCCUGCGCCUGCAAAAUGCUGAUGAGCAUUUUCUGCUCUGUUAUUGUCUUGCUGGUCGUCAUUGGAUUAAUUGUUUACUUCACGGUAUAUUAUCACAAGGAUAAGGAUACCAAAGACAUUCAGCAGCAGGUCUCCCAACUCACGCCCAUUGUAAAGCGCAGCAUACGCGAUUAUUUUAAUAAGGAAUAUUGAUCUAGGGCGAUGAAUUUAUAUCAUAGACAUUAAUAACUCCCAAAAAAAAAACUAAAUUAACCGAACCCGGGAAAAAUGUUUAUUUAAUCUAAUCGCACCUAAUGCUCAUAGUGGGAUUUUUCCUUAUCUACGAUUGUUCGGACUGAGUUCUAUGGUCGUAGGUAUGGCAAUUUAGAAUUUGUCGAUUUUUUUAGCGGGUUGUUAUCUUUAGGCUUUGCUGAUAAAGAAAAAGGGAAAUGUGAUUCAUAGACACUGAGUUUUUGGUUUAUUUUUCUGUUGUGACAAAUUCAAUAUGGAGACUGCAUUGGUUAUAAGUAAAAUUUUCUCUUCGAUUGCCGAUCCUUUUGUAUUAUCAGGUAGUCUCCUCGACGAGGGUCUAAAAAAAGUCUGCUGAACUUUUGCAUGCAUUUUAACCAUGCAUACCUGGUAUUCGAAAAGUAAACUUAGAUUUGUUGUCGAUGCAAUGUGUGUAAUGAACAGACCCCCUAUAAAGUACAUGCAUACAUAUGAUAUACAUAUACUCCUGAUAAACGUCAAUGUGUAAGUACAUAUAUGUCUGUCGGUCCGUCUGUCGUGAUGAGCGCCUAGUAAUCACAAACAAUAAAAGCUAAAAUCAUAAUAUUUUGAAUAGAGGCUGCUGUGAUAUCACGUUUCCGUUCGUUCCAAGUUUAUUUACCAAUUUACCAAUUUAAAGAUUACAUUGAGUCAUUAUUAUGCCAGAAUGAAGAAAUUAAUUUGCACCACCCCACCCAAUAUUGUUAUUUAACAAUACACAUUUCUAAAACAGAAUCUUCAUAUUUACGUACUUACGUUCGCAUUAGCAAAACAAAUAGCACAAUUGCCAAUCUAAAUUUAAACGAGAAGGGACGUGUGAGACGCUUUUUACGCGUCACAACUUUUAUACCCGGCACUCAGUACUACAUCUGUACCUUAGCGGUUUUUUUUUUUUCAAAUUUUACAUCAACAAUAAUACUCACGCCAACACGCUUCUUUCUCUCGCCUCCCUCCCUUAGAGCCACACACUACAGAGUCAGAGGCAGAGACGUGUCAGAGGCAGAGAAUGUGCAAAAAACAAAUAUAAGCUGCAGGACGGGGUCGGUUAAUAAUUAAUUUCUUCAUUGUGGCCAUAAUAAUGAUCCAAUUGGAUCCCGAUUUGGUGGUCUGAUAGAUAUGGUCAUUCCC
rnacentral:lncRNA from 1 species